AGUGGCGGACGGGUGAGUAACGCGUGGGUAACCUGCCUCAAAGAGGGGGACAACAGUUGGAAACGACUGCUAAUACCGCAUAAGCCCACGGGUCGGCAUCGACCUGAGGGAAAAGGAGCAAUCCGCUUUGAGAUGGCCUCGCGUCCGAUUAGCUAGUUGGUGAGGUAACGGCCCACCAAGGCGACGAUCGGUAGCCGGACUGAGAGGUUGAACGGCCACAUUGGGACUGAGACACGGCCCAG
rnacentral:rRNA from 1 species